UUAUACUAAGAGUUGUACUCUGGCCCAAACCCAUCGGCCUCUCGCGUUUGUUGAAUCUGAAGUCCCUUCUCUUCUUCUUCGUCAGGAGGCACUGGCAGCAAACAAAAAGUUCCUCAGAGCCGUAGCCUUUUCUCAGGCCAGAAAAUCCCUCAGUUUUGGAAGCAGCACCCAAAGAAUGGAAAUAUGUGCUCCUAUUAAACAUCUUGCUCUGUUCUGCACCCGAUGCUCUUUGGCAGAAACAAACUGCAAAACCCUAGAAAACGACGCCUAGAAAUUCAGCCAAGGUUAAGAAUCAGUCUUGAGUGCUUUGCUAUUUGAUGAUGACAUGGUCAUUAGAGCUUUGAGGCCAGGAUCAAGAAUUCUUCUAUAUGAUGUGG